CAGGCCAUCAAACUCCAAUGGUCAUGCAACUGGAGACUCUGACAAUGGCCUCUUCUGCUGGGAACCCUUAGAUAGACCUCUGAGGGAGCUCUGGCUGCCGUUUCUCCACUGUCAGCAAGAAGCACCUCAGGUAGCUUCCUCGUAUACCUGUGCUGAACAGUGCUGUCCUGAACACUCGUGAGGGCUCUUCUGCAGGUCUAGGGAGCUGUUUCUCCAUGCAGCUCUCUCCUCUCCUAUCCGCUGCCCUGGGAACUCUAGUCUGGUCUCCACGGACUCUCCACAAAAAUCUCCAUCCCUUCCACUUGUGCUCUCCGUUCCUGCCCUGUGGUCUGGAAACUCUCAAAGCAAUAAACGAGAGCACUCAAAGGACACACCUCAUUUGCUUCUCA
rnacentral:lncRNA from 10 species